GACGUAGGGCGCGAGCGUUGUCCGGAUUUAUUGGGCGUAAAGAGCUCGUAGGCGGCUUGUCGCGUCGUCCGUGAAAACUUGGGGCUCAACCCCAAGCUUGCGGUCGAUACGGGCAGGCUAGAAUUCGGUAGGGGAGACUGGAAUUCCUGGUGUAGCGGUGAAAUGCGCAGAUAUCAGGAGGAACACCGGUGGCGAAGGCGGGUCUCUGGGCCGAUACUGACGCUGAGGAGCGAAAGCGUGGGAGCGAACAGG
rnacentral:rRNA from 1 species